GUUGAACGCUGGCGGCGUGCCUAACACAUGCAAGUCGAGCGAACAGAUGAGGAGUUUGCUCCUCUUACGCGAGCGGCGGAUGGGUGAGGAAUACGAGGAUAACCUACCUUUAAGACUGAGAUAACUUCGGGAAACCUGAUCCAGCACCGGACAAUAUAUUGAACCGCAUGGUUCAAUAGAGAACGCCCUUUCAGAUGUCCCUAGGACGUGUAUCCUGGCCGCAUUAGCUAGUUGGUAGGGUAACGGCUUACCAAGGCAACGAUGCGUAGCCGACCUGAGAGGAUGAUCAGCCACACUGGAACUGAGACACGGUCCAGACUCCUACGGGAGGCAGCAGUGGGGAAUCUUCCGCAAUGGGCGAAAGCCUGACGGAGCCACGCCGCGUGUGUGAUGAAGGUCUUCGGAUCGUAAAGCUCUUUUAUUUGGGAAGAACAAAUGUGUAUGUAACUCUGCCCGUCUUGACGGUACCUACAGAAAAAGCCACGGCUAACUUCGUG
rnacentral:rRNA from 1 species